AGAUGUGCAGGGUAAAGAAUGGAAAGAGAGGCAAGCUCACUGGCUACGUCACAUCCAUCAGGGUACCACUUCAGAGGGCAUUUAAGAGUUAACUACAUUUCUGUGGGUUUGGAGUCACAUGCAGGCGUGACCAGAGCUAUUGGAGAGCGAAGUCCAGAAUUUUGACCCAGCAAUAGCGAAGAAACAAUCAAUCAACAACUAGCAAUUGUUCUUGAAGUCCCAUGACAAAAGGAAACACAACAAACUUGAGAUUAACGCAGCAUUGUAAAUGAAACAGAAAUCAGGAUUUUGAUGUAUCCAUGUGUUAAUAAUACUACACAUUUAUUAUUAAAUUCUUGUUAACAAUAAUAAUAAUGCAAGGAUUACCUGAUACCGGUCAAUGAACUGAACAUGAGGAAAAUGGAGAGUUGACACAAAUACAUGGAUGUA